AGUGAACGCUGGCGGUAGGCCUAACACAUGCAAGUCGAACGGCAGCACAGUAAGAGCUUGCUCUUACGGGUGGCGAGUGGCGGACGGGUGAGGAGUACAUCGGAAUCUACUUUUUCGUGGGGGAUAACGUAGGGAAACUUACGCUAAUACCGCAUACGACCUACGGGUGAAAGCAGGGGAUCUUCGGACCUUGCGCGAUUGCAUGAGCCGAUGUCGGAUUAGCUAGUUGGCGGGGUAAAGGCCCACCAAGGCGACGAUCCGUAGCUGGUCUGAGAGGAUGAUCGGCCACCCGGGAACGUAGACACGGUCCAGACUCCUACGGGAGGCAGCAGUGGGGAAUAUUGGACAAUGGGCGCAAGCCUGGUCCAGCCAUACCGCGUGGGUUAAGAAGGCCUUCGGGUUGUAAAGCCCUUUUGUUGGUAAAGAAAAGCAUCAGGUUAAUACCCCGCCGUUCUGACGGUACCCAAAGAAUAAGCACCGGCUAACUUCGUG
rnacentral:rRNA from 1 species